rnacentral:sRNA from 1 species
AAAAUUGUCAUACGAAGCCCGCCAUUUGUUCAUGCGGUUGAACACCGCGCUCUGUAUUUUUUGCUAAGUUUAGCCUACCACAGAUCUGUUACCAAAUACACAUACACAUGGACAAUUUUCCUGGGAGUUGUUGUUAAUGUAAUAGGUUAAUCAUUAUGUGCAAGACCGGACCAGGGCGUCCUGACGUGACAAAACAGUAUUUGUGGGGAAAAUGAUUGAAGUUUUGUCAAGAAUAUGGGCUUAUUUUAAUAAACUGAGAGUUUCUUAAACAAG